AGAACUGGAGCUAGAUAAGCGUCUGGCCGUUAACCAGAAGAUUGAAGAUUAAAACUCUUUCAGUUCUA
rnacentral:tRNA from 1 species